UUAUGUGUCACCUCACCAAUUCCCCCCUCUCUAACUAAUUUUCUAAGCAUUCACCAUGUGGCUCUCUUUUUCCUUCAUUUUUGCCUUCUUUAUUAUGUAACUUCCAUUGUCUUCUUUAUUAUGUAACUUUCAAUUAAUUUGUGUGAUUCCUUCCACUACUCAUUUUUUUAUUUAUAACCUACAAAUUAUUAUGUAACUUCCAAUUAAUUUAUUUAGCUCUUUCCACUACUCAUUAUUUUAUAUUGAUAACCUACAAAUUGAACAAAUUUAAUGCAUAAUUUUAUUUUCUAUAAAAAUCAUUGCAAGAACAUGCAAAAACUUGAUUACUCAUUUUUCCAAAGGGUGAAGAAUAUUUGGAGGAGAAUGAAGGAGGUGGAUUUUUGUCUAUCCCAUAAAAUAACCAUGGGAUAACCAUAUUUCAUUCAAACACAUACAUAAGCCAUAAGGGUUUUCGAAAAAGGACAGUUUUUGAAAGGGUGCUUCUUAUGUGAAAAGGUGGUUAUCAUCAUACAUUAAAAUAGAAGUUUUUUCAUUAUGAUUUUAGUUUAACUUUGUAUCGGUGAUCUUUUGACUUUUAUGUUAACUAUUUUUGCUGAUUUUGUAAUAUGGUGGAUGGUUAUAUUUAUCAACUAAUUUUUUGUAAUAUCUCAAAUUAUUCCAACGAAAUUAUAUUUACUUUUUUAGUCA